rnacentral:lncRNA from 1 species
AGGUUAUCUAACCUUUAAUUACAAUCAUUCAAAUGCGGAAAUUAAAUAAACUUCAUUAAAACCAAGUCUAAGAUUAUCAUAAUAAAAAUCUAACAUCUCAAUCAAAGUAAAAUUACAAGUCUUCAUCACUUGCACAUUUUUUCCUUUCCUUUGCUAGUCGAAGGUUUAUCUACCUUCUCCUCUUUAGCUGCAAUGAGUUUAUAAAUAUGCAAGAGUGAGUGAAACGAUUGCUCACUAGAUACAAUAUGAAAUCAACAGGAGUAUAGUAAUAAUAACUGCCAAUAAUAGGCUCAUCAACAAUGAAUAGUACUCUAUCAACAAUAAUCAGGAACUGAAAUCCAAAAUGUGGAAUAAAUAUAAUUGAGGGUCAUAAGACCAUGAACUAUGUCCACAGUUGCGAGUAAUCUUUCAACUCCAACUUUAACAGUCAUAAGACUAUAAGGACUCCUCGUACUUAGGGGGAUCAGCCCUUCGUACCAUGUAUUGUGCACAAACAUUUAACGCUACGCGUAAGUUAUCCCCUAAUAAUAAUAGGGUUGUUCAUCUCAGUAUUUGGAGUACAAGUCCGCACCAAAGAGAGUUUGGUUUGGAUAAGCUUUCAAGGGUAAUUUGAAGUUCAACGAUCAUCAACUAGAGGACUAGUUGAAUUAAUAACAUCAUAUUACAGAAUAAUCGUAAUUGAAUCAACAUGGUAAACCAAAAUCAUGCUUUAGGAAUAAUCUAAUAGCAUAUACUUUGAAUAACUAUAACAUGCCUUGCUUGAACAAUAUUAAGUCAAGGUUAAUUAGAAUUGAGUACUAAGCAUGCAUAACAGUUUGAACGAUGAAAUUGCUCAACAUUAGUAUAAAUAGUUGUGCAUGCUAAACAACAAGUUAAAUACAAGAAUAACUUGUCAACAUCAAACCAAAGUUUAGGAAGCUUGCAUCAUUUAUAAAGUAAUCGAAUUGAAUAAAUAGUUCAACAAGAUAAAGAAUUAGAAAACUUGCAUUACUAUAUUGGGAACAAUAAUUGAUUCCAAUUACAAAAGUAGAGUUAGAGAACUUGCCUUGCUCGUAGGCUAAACCAAAUCAAUACGAAUCACAAUAUCCUAUAAACAUAUGUCAUCAUGACAUAAUUAGUCAUUACCAUCUUACAAACAUAACUAAGUACGUUCAUCAUUUAAAAUUGGAUUUUUAAUCACAUAAUCGAGUUAUAACACAAGUUAAUCGUUAAUAACAUACUUAUUCAUAGUAUAGAUAUACUAAAAUUAACAUUUAGCAGUCCUACUAUCAUCACAUAACUUUUCUUAAAAUUUCAUGUACAAAAAGUACACUGUCAGACCAUUCUGCUAACUCGCGCUGCGGCGUGGGCAUGGCGCUGCGACGCGGAGAUCAAGGCUACAAGGCCGCACUGCAGCGUGAGUAUGGCGAUGCGGCGCCACAAAGGUACUGCAAGUCCGCGCUGCGGCGCCGAAUUGCAGACCUCGGCAGACAGCCUUGGCAACAUCAUAGAAAAAGCCAAUUUUGGCCUACAAGCUCGUUUCUAACAGACUAAUUAGCACAUAAAUCAUAUAGAGACUUCAUAUAAACAUAUUUCAAAAACUCUAAACAUGAUUUUACCCAUACAACAACAUAAACAACAAAAUUAACACACCCAAAUUCACUGUUUUUGGCUAAAACUUAUUUUUUUAUAUUUCAAUGAAAAUCAACACUGUAACUUUUGUUUUUCAACCAAAACCACUAAUCCAAAGUGUCUUUAUCAAUGAUUAUACAUACUCUAACAAAUUAAACGAUCAAUUAAUCAACUAAACCACUAAUUCACCCUCAAUUUCUACUUUAAGCUAAACAAUAUAUUUUCAUAAAAACUCUCUGUAAAAACAUUUUCUUUACAAACAUAUACAUAACCACAAUACAUUGAUUAUAAUCAUAUAUAUCCUAUGAAAAUAACCUUACAACACUAGUUUAUCACAUGAACACACAUAAAAUCAACAACUAUAUUAACACAAGAAUUUUACAGAGAAAUAGGAGAAGAGAAAACUAAAACUUUUAAAACUAAAAAGGUAGAAGAAUACCUUGAUAGAAGAUGAUGGUUAUCCUUAAGAUUAUCAAGCCUUUCUCCAACUUCACUCCCAAAUUCUAGGAUUCUCUCUCACUUCUCCACUUUUCUUCUUCUCUUCUUCUUCUUCCUCUGAGCUUUUCUUUUCUUUUCUCUAACCUCUCUCCUCUAUUCUUACGUAUAAUAAUAUAACGUAUAUAAUAUAAUAGGUACUAAUUAUAUAAUAGUAUAACUGAUAUCAGUUAUAAUAGAUUUGAAAAUCAAAAGUCAUAAGGCUUGUUUGGUUACUAACUAAAAAAAUAACCCAUUAAUCCUUACACCUUGUUUGGUAAAACUCAAAUAGAAUAAAGACUUAAUAAG